rnacentral:sRNA from 1 species
UUACCAUCUGCUCUCUUCUGCAAGGCUGGAUUCAGGGCCAAAGGGCUCUAGAGCCACCCAUGUUGACACUGUGGGCCCUGUGGACACAGUACCUGAAUAGCAGUUACCCUCUUCAGAAACAAAGCAGGCACCAGCAGAGAGGACGGGCUGUGGUGCAGGUUCCGGACCCAGAACUAUGUAGAAAUAAGUUCACCUUCGUUUACCUGUAUAGUGGGACUGAUGGUUCUCAUAGGAUGUUGGUGUCUCAUAGGGGUACGCACACAGAAGGAUGCCUGGCAUUUAGUAAGAGCCUGUUCAGAGGUGCUGCUGGUAGCAGCAGCAGCUUGGUCAUCCCCAGGAGGCCUCUGCAUUUGGGAGUGGGCAGGGCUUAGUGAUACCGGGGGUCUUUUUACCCAUAUGUCAAAAGCUUUCCUGCAAACCUUUGUGCCUGGGGUGCUCCUCCCUUUGCAGGCAGUUGAGGGUCUGGCAUGCUUGGGUGCCGCAUCCCUGGAGGGUAAAGGUGGUGGUUCACUGCCUAACGCUCUGCAGGGACUCCUGCUUAUUGCAGCAGUUGCAUUCCUAAGAAACUUUCACGUUGCCAGAAACUGCGAGGUUGGUUUGUUAGAGAACAGUUUAGGGGUUGGAGCUUCUCUGACUCAAAAACAAAUUAUUUUCCUGGAGAAAAGCCAGUGUUUUUUGUUUUGUUGUUUGAGACAGAGUCUCACUCUGUCACCCAGGCUGGAGUGCAGUGGCACAAUCUCAGCUCACUGCAGCCUCCACCUUCCAGGUUCAAGUGAUCUUCCCACCUCAGCCUCCCAAGUAGCUGGGACUACAGGCAUGUGCCACCACACCUGGCUAAUUUUUGUAAUUUUAAUAGGCACAGGGUUUCACCACAUUCACCAGGCUAGUCUCGAACUCCUGACCUCAGGUGAUCUGCCCGGCCCAAGUUUUUAAUACCUAAAACUUUUAAUGUCAUUGCAAGUAAAAGUCACGAAUGAUAACAAAACUGAUCUUAGCAAGCGUAAGUGCCACCUUCUCUGCCAUCAGGUGACAUCCAUCAGGCUCAACUUUUUCUCUGACCUCUUGUAUUGACUUGACAGCUUUACUUGCAGCUGAAAUCUACGUGCUCACUACCCAGAGCUGUAGCCAGGACCAUGUAAAAGAGUGUGGUCUCUCUUUAAUCAACUACAUUAGGUCAAAACUUCAUUGGGGAAACUUGGAGAAUUUCCCUUGCCACUCUAGAGUUCUUGCUUGCAAGCAAUUGCAAAUGACCUCAGCCACCUUGAGCAGAAAUGUGCUAUUUAUUGUAGCCUAGAGGAUCAGGCUUAGAGGUGUACCCUUGGAUCUGGCCUGUGCCUGAGCGGUGCUCUGGCUCUGCAGGUGCUUGGCAGCCAUGUCAAAUUCAGUGCCUGCCCUGUCUAUGGUAGGCACUGGCCCAGAAGACUGCCACAGAAACAGUGACUCACGGGCCCUGUUCCUGUGUCCCAGGCUCAGGGAUAAAUUUGGUUACAGACACCAAGCGUCUAGGCCUCGAGGCUGAGCAAGGCUGUGAGGAGCAGCCAGGCACUGGGGCCCUGUUACAAUGGAGUGGGGAACUGAUACUGUCUUCUCUGAAGAGUUGUAGUAAAUGCUCAUGAAACAAGGUUCAGAGAGGUAGCCUCCAGCUCACACACAGGACUGACAGUGCCACAUCAUUUCUCCUGUGUCCUUUCUCUGCCUAGAUAGCCUCGGUCUGGCAUGGUACCCUCUCGAAGCUGCUGGGAAGCCUGUAUGCUCUGGGCAUCCCCAAGGCCUCCAAGGAGCUGCAGUCGGUGGAGCAGGAGGUCCGCUGGCGCAUGCGGAAGCUCAAGUACAAGCACCUGGCCUUCCUGGCAGAGUCCUGUGCCACCCUCUCACAGGAGCAGCACUCGCAGGAGCUGCUGGCUGAGCUGCUCAUGCACCUGGAAAGGCGUUGGACAGAAAUUGAAGAUUCCCACACAUUAGUGACCGUCAUGAUGAAGGUGGGACACCUCUCGGAGCCACUAAUGAACCGCCUGGAAGACAAGUGCCUGGAGUUGGUGGAGCACUUUGGCCCCAAUGAGCUGCGGAAGGUGCUGGUGAUGCUGGCAGCUCAGAGCCGGCGGUCCGUGCCCUUGCUGCGGGCCAUCUCCUACCACCUGGUGCAGAAGCCCUUCUCUCUGACGAAAGAUGUGCUCUUGGACGUGGCCUAUGCCUAUGGCAAACUCAGCUUUCACCAGACCCAGGUGUCCCAGCGCCUGGCCACCGACCUGCUAUCCCUCAUGCCCAGCCUGACUUCUGGUGAGGUGGCCCACUGUGCCAAGUCCUUCGCCUUACUCAAGUGGCUCAGCCUGCCCCUGUUUGAGGCCUUUGCCCAGCACGUCCUGAACAGAGCGCAGGACAUCACCCUGCCCCACCUGUGCAGCGUACUUCUGGCUUUUGCGCGUCUGAACUUCCAUCCAGACCAAGAGGAUCAGUUCUUCAGCCUGGUACAUGAGAAGCUGGGGUCAGAGCUGCCAGGCCUGGAGCCAGCCCUGCAGGUGGACCUGGUGUGGGCCCUGUGUGUGCUGCAGCAGGCACGGGAAGCAGAGCUGCAAGCUGUCCUCCACCCUGAAUUUCACAUCCAAUUUCUAGGGGGCAAGUCUCAGAAGGAUCAGAACACCUUCCAGAAGCUGCUCCACAUCAACGCCACUGCCCUGCUGGAGUACCCCGAGUACUCCGGUCCCCUUCUGCCUGCCUCGGCUGUGGCCCCUGGGCCCUCAGCCCUUGACAGGAAGGUGACCCCCCUGCAAAAGGAGCUGCAGGAGACGCUGAAGGGGCUGCUGGGGAGCGCCGACAAGGGCAGCCUCGAGGUGGCCACGCAGUAUGGCUGGGUGCUGGAUGCUGAGGUGCUGCUGGACAGUGACGGCGAGUUUCUGCCCGUAAGGGACUUUGUGGCACCUCACCUUGCCCAGCCAACUGGGAGCCAGUCACCACCUCCAGGGUCUAAGAGGCUAGCGUUCUUGCGGUGGGAGUUCCCCAACUUCAACAGCCGAAGCAAGGACUUGCUGGGUCGCUUUGUUCUGGCCCGGCGACACAUAGUGGCUGCAGGCUUCCUGAUAGUGGACGUCCCAUUCUAUGAGUGGCUGGAACUCAAGUCUGAAUGGCAGAAAGGCGCCUACCUCAAGGACAAGAUGCGCAAAGCGGUGGCUGAGGAGCUGGCCAAGUGACUUGUGCCAGCAGCAUGGACUGCGUGCCUCUCCGCCGGAGGUCUAGCUGUGGGCGGGCAAGAAGGGUCACCCUUGAGGACAAACCUCUGUGCAGGACCUUGGCCAGAGUGGGGAGGGUGGCCAGCCACUCUGAGGGACAGAACGUCCUCUUGUGUAUAAUAAACCUUUAAUUUUUGGUGUUGGACCCCUGGGGCCUUCCCAGGCUUGGUCACCCUCUGCACUGUC